UUAAGCCAUGCAUGUGUCAGUGUCCGUUCUGAGGAAAUGAAGCUGCGAUUCGCUCAUUAAAACAGUUGUAAAUUACUUGAACAUGCUCUCUACAUGGAUAAUAGUAGCAAUUCUAGAACUAAUACAUGCGCCAAUGCCGAACUUCGCGGAUAGGUUUUUCUUAUUAGUUGCAGAAUCAUUGCAGGUCCACCUGGUUAUCCCUUGAUUCGUAAUGAGUGGAUGAUUGCGUAGCAACAGCGGGUAACGACUCAUUCAAGCCUCUGACCUAUCAGCUUGUGAUGGUAGGGUCUUGGCCUACCCUGGCAUUGACGGGUGACGGAUAAUUAGGGUUUGAUUCCGGAGAGGUAGCCUGCAAAAUGGCUACCACAUCUAAGGAGGGCAGCAGGCACGCAAAUUACCCAAUCCUGACACAGAGAGGUAGUGACAAGAAAUAACAAUAUAUGGCAUCCAUGUCUUGUACUUGGAAUGAAUGAAAUCCACAUCUCUUCAUGAGCACCAAUUGGAGGGCAAGUCUGGUGCCAGCAGCCGCGGUAAUUCCAGCUUCAAUAGUGUAUAUUACAGUUGCUGCGGUUAGAAAGCUCGUAGUUGUAUUUCUGCCAAGGCUAACUGGUCCAUCCUGUGGGUGAGUAUCUGGUUCGGUCGGAGCAUCUCCUUGGAGAGCACAACUGCACUUGAUUGUGCGGCGUGAUGUCCAGGACUUUUACUUUGAGAAAAUUAGAAUGUCUGAAGCAGGCGCAUGCCUCGAAUACAUUAGCAUGGAAUGAAAUGUGUGGUCUCGGUUGUACGCUGUUGGUUUUUAGAGCUGAGGUAAGGGUGAAGAGGGAUACUUGGGGGUAUAUGAAUUCAACUGUCAGAGGUGAAAUUCUUAGAUCUGUUAAAGUCGAACUGCUGUGCAAGCGUUUGCCAAGCAUAUCUUCAUUGAUCAAGAAGGAAAGUUAGGGGAUCGAAGAUGAUCAGAUACCGUCUUAGUCCUAACCAUAAACUAUGCCAGCUAGAAUUUGGAGGUUGUUACUCAAUGACUCUUUCGGCACCUUUUGAGAAAUCAAAGUCCUUGGGUUCUGGGGGGAGUAUGGUUGCAAGGCUGAAACUUAAAGGAAUUGACGGAAGGGCACCACCAGAAGUGGAGCCUGCGGCUUAAUUUGACUCAACACGGGGAAACUUAUCAGGCCCAGACAUAAUAAGGAUUGACAGAUUAAUAGCUCCUUCUUGAUUCUAUGGGUGGUGGUGCAUGGCCGUUCUUAGUUGGUGGAGCGAUUUGUCUGGUUAAUUCCGUCAACGAACGAGACCUUGACCUGCUAAAUAGUUUCAUGUGGCCUUGGUUGUGUGGAAACUUCUCAGAGAAACUUUGUGUAUCUAAUGCAAGGAAGUUUGAGGCAAUAACAGGUCUGUGAUGCCCUUUGAUGUCCUGGGCUGCACGCGCGCUACACUGAUAUGCUCAACAAGUGUGCAACUUUGCCUGCUUAGGCAAUGCAAUCUUCUAAAAGGUAUCAUGAUGGGGAUAGGCCAUUGCAACUAUUAGUCUUCAGCGAGGAAUUCCUAGUAAGUAUUAGUCAUCAGCUUGUGCUGAUUACGUCCCUGCCCUUUGUACACACCGCCCGUCGCUCCUACUGAUUGGGUGAUCCGGUGAAUAGUUUGGAUUGUGGUCUUGCUCAGCGCCUGAGCAUUACCGCACAAAGUUUGGUGAACCUUAUCACUUAGAGGAAGGAGAAGUCGUAACAAGG
rnacentral:rRNA from 1 species